AUGUCCUGGCUCCCUAGGAGGUUGGGGACAGCUUGGGGACAGAGCUGUGCGCAGCGGGGCUGGCCGUGGGGGCACCGCGGGGUCCCCGCCUUGUCCCGGGCUGGAUCUGGCCAAAGGAGCCCAGGAGCGGCCGGGGUGGGGGCAGCUGGGGGUGGGCGCCCGGGGUGGGUGUGCACACGGGGGGGGUGUGUGUGUGCAGGGGGUGUGCCCGGACACUUCUCGCCGUGUUUUGGCGGAGCUCGGCUCCUUCCCUCCUUUGUUAUCCCCCGUCUGCCCCCUCCGGUGUGUGUGUGUGUGCGUGUGCGCGAGUUCGUUCUCCGAUUGUCAGAGAUUUCUUUUCCACUGUGUGGGCAGGAGACAGAUUUUAACUGUCUCUAUUUUCUUUCUAUUUUUUUUUUAAAUAAUUUCUCCUUCUCUCCCCCUUCCCUCUCGCCUUCCUCCCUUCCCCGCUCCUCUCCCUCCUCCCUCCCCUCCCCGCGGCUCCCCCCCUGCCAUCUCCGCGAUGCCUCCGGAAUAGCUCGGGCAGCCGGAGCCAUGCCUCCCGCCCCAGAGUGAUGAGCUGCACCGGCCCCGAGGAUGCUCGGACUCGGCGCGUGCUCCGUCAGCGCCCCGGGCAGGGGGGCUGAGCUGGCCGCCCCCCCCCGCUACGUCCUGGCCCUGCCCGAGGAGGAGACGUGGCGCAAGCACCGGCUCGGCCUGAUGCAGAGCACCCAGUCCUGCAACCUGCUGGAGCCCCAGAGCCUGGCCGAGGCGCUGGUGUCGCGCGCCGCCAGCUUCGACGCCCUCUACCAGCCCCGCGAUGCCGACGGCGACGGUGGCAGCGCCCUGGACCUGGGGCAGUUCGUCCCCGUCAGCCCGGACGUCAUCAAGCGCCGUCGGGGCGGGCUGAUCGAGCAGAGGGACAUCAUCAAGGCGCACGAGGCGCACAAGAUGCAGAGCACGCCGCAGGCACGGAGGAAGGAGUGGGAGUAAGUAGGGGCCGGGGCCACAAGGGCGGGCAGGGGGCGGCGGGCGCGGCGGUGUCAGCGCCGUGGGGCGGUCAGCAUGGCGGUGCUCGACCUGCAGCAUGUCCAGGAUGGGUUUUUGGGGUGUUUGUGGGGUGUGUGUGAGAGAUGGGGAGGGAUAAUGUGGUGCUCCUUGUGGUGGUUGUUGGCUGGGGGUGUCUCUUGGUGGGUGCAUCUGAUGGGAACGGUGCGAGGGAGCCUCGGCAGGUGAGGGGCUCCCUAGGUGGAGAGCCUGGGGCAAGUUGUCUUGGAUGUCCUAUAUCUCCAUGGAUGUCCUAUAUAUCUGAAAAAUGAUGUCAUUCAACCAAACGGGACCUGGGUGGCUGCUGAGGUCCCUGCUGUGAGCUUUGGGCUGGGACAUCUCCAUCCCCACCUGCCCCUGGUGCCACAGUGGCUCUGCCACCCAGCAGGCGGCCCGGCCAGGUCCCCUGUGCGUGCCGGGUCCUGGUGGGAUGGAGCUCCCCUCGCAAUGUGUUUGGGGUCAUCGCCUUCUGCUUUUGCUGUGGCUUGAGCCCCGCUGCAAGAGGGCUUGCACUUCAUCCUGAGAGGUGGCCGAGUGCCCCUGACUCAGAGCCAGCCGGGGAUGUUAAUGAGCCUGGGAGACAAGGAUCAAAGUGCUGGGCAGAGCUAGUGCCUGCUCCAGCUUUUUUACUCAUUACUUUCCUUUAAUUAACUCCCUCCCGUGGUUUGCCUUGGAGCUGGGUGUUUCUCACGACACCGAGCCUGGGGUCACGCUCCCUUGCCCAGCAUCUGCUGCACGAGCCGGGCUGCAGCCACGUGCUGCGACCCCGCAUUUAAUUGCAAGGGUGUUCCCCGUCUGUGCCUGCUCAGCAAAAAAAAAAAAAAAAACAGCCAGGGAUGAGCUGCUGCCCAAUAUCCUGCUCUGCCACUGCCAGGUUUUGUGAUAAAAUCAAGGCUGCUCCCAGCCAGCUGUGCCUUCUCUUGUGGCCAGCACUUUUUUG
ensembl:lncRNA